GUAGCUGGCACUACCCUGUGCUGUCCCUCUGUCCUGGAAGCUGGGGAGUAGAACUUCCUUAAUUUCUGGCUGCUUCUGCACACCUCUGUGGAAGAGAGGCAUGGAACUUAUGUGCCCUUGCAAUGCAGAUAUGAAGAGCUAAAGAAACCCUUUCAUAGACAAAUACAAUUGCACAAGCAGAAAUGAACCAAAUGAAAAUGACAUCCAGGUCAACGAGGCAGCACAGCCCUCAGCAGCUGAACCACGUGUUGGUCCCAAGAUCCACUGCCAGCGCAGCCGCCCACACAGCCAGAUGCUGCUGGAAGAGGAGGACCGUCCACAGUUGGCAUUUAACUCUUGAGAGGGAAGUAAUAAUGUUCAGAUUUUUUUAAUGACUGAAUUACAUCUUGCUGUAAUAGAUGAAUUUAAAUUCUCAUAUGCUCCUACAACUGUUUUAGUAGACAUGCUAUGUAGUACAUCCUAUUCUAAUAAGAACCUUGCUUUUUCUAAUAGAUUGUUAAUAGCAAUAUAACUCCAUCCCAGAUUAAUCGUAUACUACUUUAAUUAAGAUGCAUUUAUUUUGUAAGGAAAACCAGCAAAGGCUUGAUAUUUUCUUGUAAAAAAAUCAUUAAUGAUAGAUGCAACAUCUAGUGGAAACCUGACAGUACUCCUAUCAUUAACUUUCCAAGCACAGUCUCUCGACUGUCAAAGUUCACCUUUUGACUUUUUUGAAAUGAGAUUCUCUUUGUAGUAAGCAUAAGAAGCUGUUCUUACACAACCUAUGUGAUAUUUUGUUUCAGUGCACUAAUUAGAUGUCUUUACAUCAGGGACUUUCCAAGACAUAGAAACACCCACACAUUAUUGAAUCAGAUUUAUUGAAAAUACUUGUUAAAGACUUCAAGAUUUUUCUCUGGGGUUUAUCGAGAAGCCAUUUGGACUCAAGAUUCACUAUGAGGGCUCCAGCUAGGAUACUCUUCGCAUUUCCACUGCGGAUUGUUUUCUUAUGUAGUUGUAAAUCUCUGUAUUAUUACACUCCAAAUUUGCAGGACAAGAUUUAUUCCUAUUAAAAAAAAAAAAAAAAAAGAGUGAAGAAAGAAAAAAAAGAAGCAAUGAGAGGAAGAUACCGUAAUUACUGUAGAGAAUUACUGUAGAGAAACACCACACUUAGAGGUUCUGGUAGUGGACUUUACCUUGCUACAAAAGGGAAAUAUAACUAUCCUUGAAAAUGAAUGGCUUUUUCAGUCUGGUAUGAAUUGUAACAAAGAUAGUCUACAUACUAGAUGGUUGUCAUCCAACAUCAGCCAAGGAAAGCUGACACUCGAAAGUCACUCUCUUAACAUCUAUGGCAAUCUGCUUUAGAAUAUUGCUUCCUGUAAAAUAAGAAAUAGAACAACUAAGUGUGAUAAACCAUAUUCUUUUUUUAGUUUACUUGAUAAAUGCUAUUGCAGGACAGUUUAAGGUUGGAGUAAGGGACACUCCAGGGAAUAAGGGGGAAAUUCAUUUUUUGGUCUCUAGUUCUCUGACGCUAAUCAUAGAUGUAUUUGUGUUAGUUUAUCUCUGCUGACUCUGACCUAUGUAAAUCCACAAAGACUACAAAGAAUAGGAACAAGUGCACACUUUUGUUAUGCUAUUUCAUUAGAAGUGGUGAAAAAUCUCUUCUUUUUUUUUGUAUUUUUUUAGUAAAUAGGAGUACACCUCUGUCAAAAACAUUAACUCAAUGAAAGAUCUCCUUCCUGAUGAUGCUCUUAAUAUAUAGUACUUCACUGACUUCAAAUUCUUUUUACAUCAGUUGCAUGUCUAGCUGAUAACUUCAGAAUCUGUUGGCAUCCACAGAGGAAUUUUAUGAGAGAUACUAACAGGCAGAUAUUUAUAAAAUGUCACUAUUGCUUUAGAGCUGUAUGUAUGCAAAAGAUGACAGAGGUGAUGCUUAGAUUUUUCAUAUUUCCUCUGGUCCUUAUGCGAACAGGAGAUACAAUUAAGGAACUAAGAAGAAAUGAAAACUUGCACUUAUUUUGUGAAUUUCAACUUUUCCCUUGCGGUAUAUCCAAACAGGGAUUGCUACCUUCCUUCGCUCUAUAUGACCUAAAUAUUUUUUCUGAAAUUGCAGUGAUGUGCAAACAUAAAUUAAUCAAAAUAUUAAGAAGAAAGUAUGCCUCAGGAUAAAUAUAGGGUGAAUUUUGUACUGGAUAUCUACUGUGUAAGUUUCAGAAGAUUAGAGUUUAAAAAAAGAGAUUUUAAAUAAACAGGAGGCUUUUUCCCAGCUACACAAGCCUACCUGCUGCCAGACUCAGACAAAAUGUGUAAAGGCCUUUGCUGUGUUGAUGCUUAUCAAAAGAAUUUCUGGGGGGUACACUAGAGAAAUUUCUUUGAAAUCUUACCAAUAAUAACAAAAUAGCUUAAGAAUUAAAAAUCCUGUUAUGCAACAUUAGUUUAUCACUCCCUAGAAUGGUGACCUUGCAAUGCUUGGGUAAUGUUUCUCCAAGCUCACUCUCAUCUCAAAGCAAGAAAGUGAAGGUAUUGGCAGUGGGGAUAGCCAUGACAGAAGCCUGAAAACCUGCACACCUUAAAACCAAACAUUUUUUGUCGUGUCACAGAGUCACCUGUAAAUACAGGUAGGAUUUUUUGGUUUUCAUUUUCAGCAUAUGGGCAUGUCAGAUACAGAUAACACUAUGCAGAGUGAACUUCAGGUUUCUCUCAUCAUAAAUAAUAUUUUGGUGGCUUUAUUGGCUAGGAAUUGUAUUUGGUUGAUCGAUUUUGGUUUUUUUUUUAAUAGAGCAGUUGCAUGACUUUGAUUUAUAAAUAUAUGUGUGCGAAGCAUUCAUUUUUCAAAUGAAGGGAAAUUUUUUUCCAUUCUAAUCUAAAAGCUACAUAUGGUCUUUAUGACAACAACAGUGUCUAUUGCAUCUUUACAGUAGUCUUAUCACUACCCAGAAGUGACAGCUUAUGACAAUGUCAAAGGUAAAUCCAAAUGGAAAUUGGGACAUAUUUUCACUGGCAGAACGUAGUUUAAAAAAAAAAAAUUGAAAACGAUAACUGAUUGAAACACUAAGCCCCCAUGUACUCUGAAAAGCUGUAACAUUCACUAUAGCUGAAGUUCCAACACAAAUGACUGAAUUUAACUAGUUCAGCACAUGUGCAUCAUUCUCAAGAAUCUUGGAGCACUAAAACUUGGACAUCUUUUGGGUAGAUCCUUUUUGUAAUAGAGUUGCUUUGUGCUGCCAGACUUCACUUUUUUGACAAGUUGAAAUCAUAAGGUGGCAUAGAGUCACUGUGGCAACAGGCUUUUGGUAAAGCUUAGGCCAAAGGGAAGAAGAAGAAGGAUGGCCACUAUGCAUUUAAAUCCUGGAUAUUUUUUAUUGCUAUGAUAGGGUUUAGACUUUGGAGACUCAACAAGUGCAAAGAUCUGGUGUUCAUUUUCAGCUUUAGGAGUAAUGUGGUCAUAGGGUGCUUUAUAUAAACACCUCUUAAAUUUCCUUUUUACUUCCCUUUUUACUUCUUUAUUUCUUAUUUUCAAGUAGCUUGAAUUCAGAGCUUUAGCUAGUAGCCCAGAAUCUGGACUUUCUUGUAUUUAUAUCCCACAUUAAGGAGCUUUUUUGUCCACAUUAAAAUGUAAUCUUGAGCUGAAAAUAAUGAAAUAUUUAUUUGCAACAUGCACAAAGAGUUGUAGGAAGUGAAUAGAAAUAAAAGAACUGACCCUAGUAACAUGGUUACAUACUUCUCAAUUUAUAUAAGGUAAAUUUUUCAAAAUGCUACUCUAAAUUAUACUAUACAGUGCAUGAUUUUUAUUGUUCUUAUUUCAGAUUGAACAUAAAGAUAGACCUGAAUUUCCACCAGAGUUUAAUUCUGUACUUUACCAUAUCAUUGUCUUGUUUUGUUAAAAGUUAAACCUUUGAAUUGCCACUACCUUUAAAUUGCAAAACUUCAUGAAAUUGCCAUGUAAUGAAGAUUCUAUUUUGCUUAAGGCUUCCGUUGUUUUCCUUUGAUGUUAUAGAGUGGUGGAAUUUUUUCCCCAUCCUUUACAAAUAAAACUGAAUCAGCUGAUUGUUUUGCUACAGAGUCAACUUGCCAUUUAUAGGAAAGUGGGAUCCUUGCUUCUAAUUACCGGUCUAUUAUUUAAUUUAUUAGAAACUGAUGUAUAUACAAUUGAAGAGAAACAUGAUGAAAAAAUUCCCCAUGUAGAGAAACAAAACAAAAAAUCCACUAGUUUUUGGGUUUUUUUUCUUAACUGUGGGAUUGUUCUUUCAUAUUUGUACCACUAACACAUGUAGCAUAUUAUAAUGGCUAGGUGGGAAGAAUAUAUUAAUCCCACACUUAAUACAAAGUCUAAUGUUUUCCUCUUUAUAGCAUGCAGCCAUUCUUUUAUUCCUGUUCUGUUGCUACAGAGUCUAUGUAAGAUUUCACAGAAUUAUUAUUUUUUUUACUAUGAGGAAUGGUCAAAUGCUUUUUUCCCCAACAAAAUCAAAACACCUUAAGAAAUUACCUUGGUAUUGUGUUUAGUCUGGCACCUCCUGCAUAUUCAGAGCAUAAAGAAUUUUCAGCAUCAAGAAGACAUUUCACUGUGAAGUCUUUCCCCCUGAUUCUUUGUGACUGCUGGGGAGGCAGCUAGAGAAACAGGAAAGUCGUUCUGGAUGUGAUCCUGAUGGAGGUACUUCUCUCGUUGCCCGUCCAUGGAUGGUUCACAUAGUGUCCCAGGCAGCAUGGAAAUUUCAGACAAAGUUUAUCAGGGAGACCCUCCUUCUGAGUCACAAGGAUCAGAAAGACCUCCCUUCUAAACUCCUCAGAGAGGAGUUUAGGUGUGUCUGGACCCAAUUCUAUUCCCAGAUUUGCUCAACAAUCUGUGUCUAAAGGGUUAUAUCGGCGCAACUGAGCUUUUAUACAACAUUGUCCUGCAGGGUUAAGAAUGACAACAUAAAUAUAUUUCUGUUUAAGCAAUAAAUUAUUUGUUUAAAUUGAUGAUGAUUGUAAUAAUGAUUAGACUAAAAGACUUUAAGCAGAAUUAUUUACUACACAGCAUAGAUCAUUAAAAUAAAGUGCAUUAUUUAUUGAAGGAAUAUUGAAGCAAUGAUGUUAAAUCUAGCAAAAUAAAUAAGUAGAGAUUAAUGUUACUCAGCCAUACCAAUGACUGUUGGCAAGUCUCUUUUUCUGUGCCUGAAGGAUUAAACUUGAUAAGCAUCCCAGCUCAAGGGAGGAAGCUCCACACACAGUCCAAGCAGUGUGUGAGAAGACCCUGUCUUUAAAAAGUGGGACUGGCCUUUCACAGUAUAAAGUGAUUGUCAGUCGUGUUUCUAGGUGAGCCAUGCAGCCUACAGCUCAUCAGCUUUAGAUAAGUUAUCAGUAUCACCACUUGUUCAUUCUUUCAUCAGGAAUUUUGUCUGCCACAUGCUCACUGGUGCCAUAUUCUGUCAGACACUAUUCUUUACAUGCUCAGAAUGUUUAACUUUUGGGUUGAUGAGUUAGGUUAGUCUUGGCAUUCUUAACUCCAAAAGCAGCAUAACCUUCCUUCCCAUCCACCACUGAUUACUCUUGCAACUAGGUUAAAGUUCAAAGUAUUUUACUGCUUAAGCAGAGGUUUUGCUGCAACAGGGAGGCAUUUGAAUUGAGAGGCAGUAACUAACUGGCAUACUAAGUUAAAUCAGGACUAUUAGAAACACAUUUUUAGUCUUUGGAUGAUUUCUCUUACAAAUAUCUGCUAUGAAGGAACCAUAACAUAAGAGGAGGAGGGAGCUAUAAAGAGCCAAAAGCUUCAGAAUACAGGAGCUUAGAGUUGCAGUGAAGAACAAGCAGAUCUCAGCAACUCCUGUAAGCAUCUAUAGCUCAGUCUUCAGAUUGAGUGAAUAUAUAUGCACCUAUUAUUGGAAAGUGAGAAAAUGCAAAUGUCUGGGACCAAGUAAAAGAAUAAUUUGUAAAAGUUAGUAGACUUUAAAAAAAUACCAGCUGGAUAGUUAGAAAAA